CGACGCGUAGCUCAGCAGCAGAGCAUCGGGCUUGGACCCGAAGGGCGCAGGGGCGGCACCUGCCGCGUCGG
rnacentral:tRNA from 1 species